rnacentral:lncRNA from 1 species
CAGUACUGCCGGAUCGUCACAUUUAUUCAUUUAUUCUCCUGUUUUUUCUGAUAAUUACUGAGUGGCUUACUUAGACGCUAGGGAAGAGCGGAUCGCCUGUUUGAAUAGGCGUUUGUAAAACUCCCUUAUGUAUGGGGCGCAGUUUACAGCGUUCGCAUUUGUAAUACAUUUCAUUGAUGUCCGCAGUAAAUUCCUAGUCUCCCAUUAUGUUGGUCCCGGUCCUUCUUUGUAGGUGCCUGGGGACGGACUGAGGAACCUGACCUCUGGAUGCCGACCGAGGGGGAGGGGUCUGAACUUGCACACACCCGGGUCUCUCCGCUCCCUGCUCCGCUCCAGCUGCCGGCCGGUCACUGCAGGCUGCGACGGAAACCUAAGGUCGUGCGGAACUUUGGCAACUUUCAGAUACCUGCGUCCCAGAGUUCUGUAACUCACAUUCAUCCAGCGCUCACCCUAAGCCAGCAACCCUGCAGCUGAAGGCAUGGCACCCAACACGUGGGAGGCUGAGGCAGGAGGAUUGCUGCAAGAUCAACCAGGGCUGCAAAGUGAGUUCAAGGCCAACCUACUGCAUGGUGAAACCCUGCAGACAAAAAUUAAAAAGAAAAAUUAAAAAGAUUGACUUAUCUGUAUAACGAGAUAGUAUUACUUGGGGAGUAAUUUCUCAUGUGAAUAUAGAGAAGCUCAAUAAGAAAAUUAAUUUGGAAUAGGUUUUUCAACUAUAUAAAGGUCUGUGUGAUUAGUUUUAAUAACAGCAAUAAUUGUUUGUUG